UGGAGAUUAACUUUUUCCAUUCUCCACAGG
rnacentral:piRNA from 1 species